CAGUAGCCGCGGGAAUACGUAGGGUGCAAGCGUUAAUCGGAAUUACUGGGCGUAAAGCGUGCGUAGGCGGCUUUUUAAGUCGGAUGUGAAAUCCCUGAGCUUAACUUAGGAAUUGCAUUCGAUACUGGGAAGCUAGAGUAUGGGAGAGGAUGGUAGAAUUCCAGGUGUAGCGGUGAAAUGCGUAGAGAUCUGGAGGAAUACCGAUGGCGAAGGCAGCCAUCUGGCCUAAUACUGACGCUGAGGUACGAAAGCAUGGGGAGCAAACAGGAUUAGAUACCCCCGUAGUCCCUGUCUCUUAUAC
rnacentral:rRNA from 1 species